rnacentral:lncRNA from 1 species
GUGCAGAAAGCACCGUCUUUUACUAGAAGAAGACAAUAAAAUGUUGGUCAAUGAACUGAAUCAUUCGAAAGAAAAAGAAUGCCAAUAUGAAAAAGAGAAAGCAGAAAGAGAAGUAGCUGUGAGACAGCUUCAACAAAAACGAGAUGAUGUCUUAAACAAAGGAUCAGCAACAAAAGCUCUGCUGGAUGCUUCAUCGCGUCACUGCACCUAUUUAGAAAAUGGGAUGCAGGAUUCAAGGAAGAAAUUAGACCAGAUGAGAAGUCAAUUUCAAGAAAUACAGGAUCAACUUACAGCUACUAUAAGAUGUACUAAGGAGAUGGAAGGCGACACACAAAAGCUUGAAGUAGAACAUGUGAUGAUGAGAAAAAUUAUUAAAAAACAGGAUGACCAAAUUGAGCGGCUUGAGAAAAUCCUGCAGCAUUCAAGUUUGAUGCUGCAGGUGUUUGAGAGCUAGAUGAAGAUAUGGACAUUUCUGGAAUUAAGAGCCCCCUCUACAUUGAGCACAAGACAGUGACGAAUCCACAUUCUUCAGCCAGAAAGUCACCUCUGAGAGCCAAAUGUCUGACUAUAGAAAGGAGAGUCAAAGAAUGAUAACGACAUCUCAGGAAAAUUGUGAAAAUAAUCAGCAGCCGGAUGUGGAUAACCCUUUCAAAUUUCUCCAGGGCACCUGUCAUUUCAGCCAAUACUUGCCAGCUUGUGCCAAGGAUGCUGGAGCUCCCUGGGAUGAGUUUCCCAGGGGAGGAGCUGGCCGCCAUCUUUGCUGUUUGGGUGACACAGCCAUUCCAGCCUGUGGGCUUUGGAC